rnacentral:rRNA from 1 species
UACGUAGGGCGCAAGCGUUGUCCGGAAUUAUUGGGCGUAAAGAGCUCGUAGGCGGCUUGUCACGUCGAUUGUGAAAGCUCGGGGCUUAACCCCGAGUCUGCAGUCGAUACGGGCUAGCUAGAGUGUGGUAGGGGAGAUCGGAAUUCCUGGUGUAGCGGUGAAAUGCGCAGAUAUCAGGAGGAACACCGGUGGCGAAGGCGGAUCUCUGGACCAUUACUGACGCUGAGGAGCGAAAGCGUGGGGAGCGAACAGG